rnacentral:misc_RNA from 1 species
AGACUGUACGGCGUGAUCGAUCGCCGCUUGGCCGACCGUGAAUAUCUCGCCGGCGACUACUCGAUCGCGGAUAUUGCGACUUUUCCCUGGAUUCGUCCCUAUCGUUGGCAGGGCCAGGAGCUGGAGUCCUAUCCCAAUCUUAAGCGCUGGUUCGACGCUAUCAAGGUUCGUCCGGCUGUACAGGAGGGGCUGGCUGUUAUGUCCG